GACGAACGCUGGCGGCGUGCUUAACACAUGCAAGUCGAACGGCAGCAUGGUGAGCUUGCUCUCUGAUGGCGAGUGGCGAACGGGUGAGUAAAGCAUCGGAACGUACCGUGUAGUGGGGGAUAACGUAGCGAAAGUUACGCUAAUACCGCAUACGCACUGAGGUGGAAAGCAGGGGAUCGUAAGACCUUGCGCUAUACGAGCGGCCGAUGUCAGAUUAGCUAGUUGGUAGGGUAAAGGCCUACCAAGGCGACGAUCUGUAGCGGGUCUGAGAGGAUGAUCCGGCACACUGGGACUGAGACACGGCCCAGACUCCUACGGGAGGCAGCAGUGGGGAAUUUUGGACAAUGGGGGCAACCCUGAUCCAGCCAUGCCGCGUGAGUGAAGGAGGCCUUCGGGUUGUAAAGCUCUUUCGGCCGGGAAGAAAUCGCACAGGCUAAUACCCUGUGUGGAUGACGGUACCGGCAUAAGAAGCACCGGCUAACUACGUGCCAGCCGCCGCAGUAA
rnacentral:rRNA from 1 species